GGGGGUAUAGCUCAGUGGUAGAGUAUUCGACUGCUAAUUGAGAGAUCAUCGGUUGAAACCCGGGUGUCCUUU